rnacentral:rRNA from 1 species
UCCUACGGGAGGCAGCAGUGGGGAAUAUUGGACAAUGGGCGCAAGCCUGAUCCAGCAAUGCCGCGUGAGUGAUGAAGGCCUUAGGGUUGUAAAGCUCUUUUACCCGGGAUGAUAAUGACAGUACCGGGAGAAUAAGCUCCGGCUAACUCCGUGCCAGCAGCCGCGGUA